rnacentral:rRNA from 1 species
AACACAUGCAAGUCGAGCGAGAAAGCUCCUUCGGGAGUGAGUAAAGCGGCGAACGGGUGAGCAACGCGUGAGAAUCUACCCUUUAGUGAGGAAUACCUCCGAGAAAUCGGGGCUAAUACUGCAUACGUCCCUUCGGGGAGAAAGAUGGCCUCUUUGCUAUCGCUAAAGGAUGAGCUUGCGUACUAUUAGCUAGUUGGCGGGGUAAAGGCCCACCAAGGCUUUGAUGGUUAACCGGCCUGAGAGGGUGUACGGUCACACUGGAACUUAGACACGGUCCAGACUCCUACGGGAGGCAGCAGUGAGGAAUCUUGCGCAAUGGGCGAAAGCCUGACGCAGCGACGCCGCGUGGAGGAUGACGGUCUUCGGAUUGUAAACUCCUGUUAAGCGGGAAGAAAGACCCAUUUCUAAUACAGAUGGGGUAUGACAGUACCGCUAGAGAAAGCACCGGCUAACUUCGUGCCAGCAGCCGCGGUAAUACGAGGGGUGCAAGCGUUAUUCGGAUUAAUUGGGCGUAAAGGGUGUGCAGACGGUUUGCUAAGUCGCUUGUUAAAUUCUUCGGCCUAACUGAAGGUCUGCGGGCGAUACUGGCGAACUAGAGGGUGGAAGAGAGAAGUGGAAUUCUCGGAGUAGCGGUAAAAUGCGUAGAUCUCGAGGGGAACACCAAUGGCGAAAGGCAGCUUCUUGGUCCAUCCCUGACGUUCAUACACGAAAGCGUGGGGAGCAAACAGGAUUAGAUACCCUGGUAGUCCACGCUGUAAACGAUGAUCACUGGACGUUGGUUCUGUUUAACAGAAUCAGUGUCGUAGCUAACGCGUUAAGUGAUCCGCCUGGGAAUUACGGUCGCAAGACUAAAACUCAAAGGAAUUGACGGGGGCCCGCACAAGCGGUGGAACAUGUGGUUUAAUUCGACACUACGCGAGAAACCUUACCUAGGCUUGACAUGCUUUUGACCGUCAUAGAAAUAUGAUUUUCUGGGCUUCGGUUCAGACAAUUGCACAGGUGCUGCAUGGCUGUCGUCAGCUCGUGUCGUGAGAUGUUGGGUUAAGUCCUCUAACGAGCGCAACCCCUGCUAUCAGUUGCUACUUGCGUGAGCAAGGCACUCUGAUGGGACUGCCUGGGAAACCAGGAGGAAGGUGGGGAUGACGUCAAGUCCUCAUGGCCUUUAUGCCUAGGGCAACACACGUGUUACAAUGGUUGGUACAAAGGGUUGCGAGCUUGUAAAAGUAAGCUAAUCCCAUAAAGCCAAUCUAAGUUCAGAUUGAGGUCUGCAACUCGACCUCAUGAAGUUGAAAUCGCUAGUAAUCGCGUAUCAGAACGACGCGGUGAAUACGUUCUCGGGCCUUGUACACACCGCCCGUCACACCAUGAGAGCUGUUUGUACCCAAAAACAUUUUAGCCAACCCGUAAGGGGGGCGAAUGUCUAAGGUAUGGAGAGUGAUUGGGGUGAAGUCGUAACAAGGUA